rnacentral:rRNA from 1 species
ACUUUGACCUCGGAUCAGUAGG